UACGGAGGUGGCGAGCGUUGCUCGGAUUCACUGGGUGUAAAGGGCAAGUAGGCGGCUUCGCAAGUCGGGUGUGAAAUGCCACGGCUCAACCGUGGAACUGCGCCCGAUACUGUGAGGCUUGAGGACAGGAGAGGCCAACGGAAUUCUCGGUGUAAGGGUGAAAUCUGUAGAUAUCGAGAGGAACACCAGUGGCGAAGGCGGUUGGCUGGCCUGUCCCUGACGCUGAGAGGCGAAAGCUAGGGGAGCAAACAGG
rnacentral:rRNA from 1 species